rnacentral:rRNA from 1 species
GACGAACGCUGGCGGCGUGCUUAACACAUGCAAGUCGAACGGAAAGGCCCUGCUUUUGUGGGGUGCUCGAGUGGCGAACGGGUGAGUAACACGUGAGUAACCUGCCCUUGACUUUGGGAUAACUUCAGGAAACUGGGGCUAAUACCGGAUAGGAGCUCCUGCUGCAUGGUGGGGGUUGGAAAGUUUCGGCGGUUGGGGAUGGACUCGCGGCUUAUCAGCUUGUUGGUGGGGUAGUGGCUUACCAAGGCUUUGACGGGUAGCCGGCCUGAGAGGGUGACCGGCCACAUUGGGACUGAGAUCCGGCCCAGACUCCUACGGGAGGCAGCAGGGGGGAAUAUUGCACAAUGGGCGGAGGCCUGAUGCAGCAACGCCGCGUGCGGGAUGACGGCCUUCGGGUUGUAAACCGCUUUCGCCUGUGACGAAGCGUGAGUGACGGUAAUGGGUAAAGAAGCACCGGCUAACUACG